ACAAUGGAAUCCAUUGGUUUGAUUCACUUUCGUACAAAAUUUCUCUACUCUCUGUGGAUUUGAAGGUUCUUUUUUUUGGUUUAGCAAAGAAACUGAUCGUAGCUUUGUUUUGGUUCCUUGACAGGGAUACGACGGUUGAUGCUUUAAACACUUUCGUCUGCGAAACUGGUACCGGGAAACAUGUUCCCAGAGCUCUAUUUAUCAUUCUCGAGCCCACUGUUGCGGUUAUGGUGCGUUGAAGUUUUGAGCUAGAGAUCUCCCUCAAAUGUCUCCAUUUUUUCUUUCAUAACUCGAAGUCGCCAUUGCUCUUUUUGCAGGUCCACCUAACGAAUCUAGAACAUAUUAAUGAGAACCACAUGCAUUAAGGAACAUAAGGAAUUGGUAAUGAGGAAUCUGGCGAGCCCACCAGCAGCACGAAGAAAGGAGCAAAAUGUGGUGGCGACGGAAUCAGAGCAGAUACACGUGUCACACAUGAUGUGUGAUCUGUUUGGAUGAUGUCGAUGUAAACAUCGUUACGAUUCUGGUGGGAUGCAAGCGAGUGUUAGUAAAGGAGAAAAUUUUAGGGCUUAAAUAUUUGGUAUCAUGCAGUUUUGAUAUUCUUCCGUUUUCUUUCGGAUUAACGAGAAAAUCUUUUUCAACUCUUAUUAGUUAGUGACAAACACUUGAGUUGCUAUUUCUUUGUGGUAAUUAUUUUCUACUGUCUAGGACCUAGCUUCAGUUUGGUCUUUCAUAUUUUUUAUCUGUAUUCUUAUAACCUUAUAGAAAGGUUGGUGAUAUUAUUUUUAACUUUGGGAUCAAUAUAUAUACGUUUGCCUUUCUUAUAUAGUGUUCUAAAUUUAUAAAUCCUCUCAUAAACAAAAAAAAAUCCAUGCAGACAUAAUCACUAGAUUGGUAUUAUACAUAAACUAAACAAUGAUUUGAUGAAGUAAUAAAAACUAUGAACUAGAAAAUUUACGUGGAGAAUUUCUAGAUUCGUGUACUAUAAUUUUUACAUGAACCAUUUUCAGAUUUAAAAAUCCAUGCAGACAUAAUCACUAGGUGUUUCAUGCAGACAUAAUCAUCUUAUAAUUAUUUAUUAAUACAUAUAUUUUCAAAUUUUAAAUAUAACAUCGAAUUAUUUAUAUAUGACAAACAAAAUAAAUUAUUGAAAACAGUGAAUAUUCAAUUUUAUAAUAUGAAAUCAUAUUAUAAAAAUAUCCAAAAGCUAAAUCUCAUGUAUAUGUCUAAUUAUAUCGUAUUAUAAUAUUUAAAUAAAAACCCGCGUAGUGCGGACACAAAUCUAGAAUUCAAGUAACCUUUUAAGACUUCAUUAUAACAUAACUACCAAAACAAACAACAACAAUUGUUUAUAAUGGAAAUUCCUAACAUUUUCGCGAAGAAAUAUAAUAACUUUGACACAUGGUUCCUCUAAAUUAAAACCUCAUUCUUCAGUAUUUUAUAAACACUCGCAGAAAAUGGUAUUAGAAAUUUCGAUCUCAUUUUCUUUUGAUCGAAUCCGAUUGAUUUAUGUAUUUUAUAGUAUUAUAAAACUGAAAAAUUAUAAAAGCUUACAAUUCAGAAUUAAAGCAGCAAAAAUACUAAGAAUUCAAUUACUUUUAGUUUUAUAGUUGAAAUUUGGUAUAUGCAACAUAAUCAUACUCACACACAACUUAACAUAAGAGAAAACUGCGAAAUGGCCAAAAUACUACAUUUAUAAUACCACUUUUCAUGUUUACACUAACCGCUUUUCCCAUCGUUUUUAAAGAGGGAAAAAACAUUUAUAACAUUAGGGUUAAUUAAUUUAGACUUAGGGUUUAGAGUUGAGGGGUAGGAUAGAGUUUUUGGAAUGUAAAAUUUAGGAUUCUAAUAAAUAAAUAAAUACUUAAAAUUAUAUAAAAAUAGUUUCAAAAGAAUUUUCAAUUUUCAAAAAGAAAUUUUGAAAAAAAAUUCAAAAAAAAAAAUUUAUAAAAAAGUUCGAAUUUGAAAAAGCGUAAUUCGAAAAAGUUAAAAAAUUAAUUCAUUUAAAUAACUAUUUAUUAUAUAUAGAGAGAAAAUGGUAUAAGAAUCUUUUGUCUUUUAAUGAAUAAGAUAUUUUGAAAAUGUCUUUUUAUUAGUGGUAAACAUAGAAAAUAGUACCAACAAAGUGGUAAACAUGAAAAUUUCCCAAAAAAAAUUUGCACAAAAUUAUAUAUAUUUUUAAACCCGGUCUAUCAAAUCCCGCGCGUAGCGCGGACCGACCCUAGUAAAUUAUAAAGUAGACCAUCCCCUCAUUCUUAAAAGGACACGUCAGAUAACAGUUUCGCCGGACGUCGACACGUGUCUAUUUUCUUUAAAACUUUGCGUUUCAUUUAAUCAGUUCUGGAUUUAUUUGGGCAUCACUUCGUUGGGCUGAAUCUACCCUUACUUAAGCCCAUAUCAUUCUAUAUCUACACUAGCUGUAAUUAAACGUUGCGUUUUUUAUUAGGGUUUGGGGUGUGUCCAUCUUUGCGUCUCCAUUCCCUGCCGAUCUUUCAUCAUCUUCCUUCCGGUGAGAGAUGAUACAGUAACUGAAUUUCUCUCAUAAAGCCCUCCAUUAAUUGAUCACCCAUGAUCUAUAUUCAAUGCGACUCUUGAGACUACAAGGCGGUAGACGUUCUACUAUAAAAAGUCUGGCUGCUCUUCCUCCACCGUUUAAGUUUGCCUGCUCUGUUUCUGGGAGACCGGGAAUGCACGCCGUGGUGGAGAUCUCAUGGGAGUCGACAUGCUCCUUCUUGAUUCUCAGCAACCAUGAUGCCGGCCACCAUUGAUGUCAACCGGCUGGCGACCCACCGGCCUAACCUGAAAGCGGGUUCGGUUUAUUCUCUAACUGGGUUUGAUGUUGCUCGGUGUAACCCAAAUUACCGUCUAUCGGAUUCUUCCUUGCUAAUCUGGUUUAGCGACUCAACCUAUUUCAAAGAGGUUACUGAUCCAGCUGUUCCGUCUCCUCCUGAAUCAUUUCGCUUCCGUAACCACAGUGAGAUGCUUGGUCUCGCUAACACUAACAAUCAGCUUCCAGACCUCAUUGGUGAUAUUACUGAUGUGAAGAGCACUGUCACUGACCCUCCCCAGGGUUCCAGUUAUGUUGGAAAAUGACUAUGAGCCUCUUCGACGCUCAGGCUGUUAAUAUUCAUAAUCAAUUAGAAAAGAUGAGAGGUGAUCCAAGAGUUGUGGUUGCAACCAGCGUCAACCCGAAGAUGGGGGGUGGGGGGUCGGAUAUUUUUGAAUGCCACUUCCGGCACACAUAUUUACUUCGACAAAGAGACAUCAGCAUGGGAGAGUUUCUUCUACAGUCUGGUUGAACAAGACAUUGGAGUUACGCCAGCAGCUCCACUGCUAAGGGGCUAUGCAAAGGUGGAAGUGCUGAGCAUAGCUGAGCUCAAUAACCGCUCCCUCUCAGGUAUGCAGCCAGAAUUACAUUGUUAUCUUUUUCAUAGAUAGAUUUCUUAGGUUACCUGAGCAAUCUGAUUUCCCAACCAUGUCGGACAUUGAUUUUAUCUGUAACGAGAGAGUGACUGAUAUCAAGAUGGAUAAGGGGUGGUGCUAUGUUUCAUUCUCAAGUUGUGCCAAGAAACUUCAACGCACGGCCUCAUCUUUCACAUGUGUGCCUUUCAAUAAUACUUACGCAGUUGGUGUCCUCCGAUAUCGUGUCGAGAUGUCUGUUGCAGACGAGACUGGUGAAGAGUUGUUUGUUUGCUUUGAUGGGGUUAUGACGAAGCUCCAUAACAUGAGGGCCUAUGAGGCUGGCCAUCUCUUGGUAUCAUCUUCAUAAACUGUCGUCCACUCUUUGUGUUGACUACUUAUUCAUUCAGUCACAUUCAACCAAUUAUACACAUGCUGGUGAUGGUGUCAACCCGGAGGACUGAGGCCCCUCCUUUUGUUCCAGGGGGGGGUGACAAUGACAAUGGAGAUGACAACCACGGUGGCAACUCAGACAGUGCCUGUUAAGGUGGAAGUAGCAAGGUUGAUGGAGCUACUGGGAAGGUGAAGAAAGCACACAAGGCAUAAGUGAAGCCAAUUGAUGUCGAGGAUGCUGUUUUCCCGUUUGCGUUUUUGCUUUUUAGUCUUUCUGAAUAAGUUUGCAUUUUUCUUUUUGCUGUUUGAAACUUCUACAUUUAGUUCUUGCUUAUCAGUUAUAAAAUCUAUUCCAUUUCAGAAA